UAUCUCUCCGCCCUCAAACGCCCAGCACGCCCCCUGUUCGGCGGCUACGUCGCCGCCCUCGAACGCCCAGCGCGCCGCCGCCUGUAGCCCCUCCCAGCACCCGCGCCCCCACCCACCUCAACCCCCGGAUCGAUCUACCGCUUCUCAACCUACCUCGGCGCCAAUUGGAUUGCUGCGGCGACGGCCUCGUCGAUCCUCAGCUUCGGCACCUACAUCCUGAAGGGGUACGAUCUCGUGUUUGAGGAGACGUCCACAACUUGUACUGCUUGGUUUUCCUGUCCAAGACUCAAAUCUUCUCCUAGGAAGUACGCAAGCACGGGAGAACAAGCUUGUCAAUUUUUUUGGAACAUGCCAAAGGGGCAAAGAAUAGUUGUAAAAUGCAAUGAAGAAAGCUAGCCUUUUGGACCAAGCUUGCCAAUUGUUUGGAACAUGCCAAAGGGAAUAAUGGAAUAGAAGAGGAUGGCGAGCAUGAUGAUGUCGGUCAGUUACAAAUUCAACAAAAAAUCAUCGUCACCACAAGACCUUGUUAUUGAUUAUGUACAAAAGGCAAGGGAAAUGAGGGAUUGCGCAGUUGAAUAUUUUUCAAGACUAGACAAGCAGGGGACUAGAAUUGAACGCCCACAUCCAGUUCGCUAAAAAAAGGCGUACUUCUUCAAUCAAGGACAAUUGGUGAAGCUUUCUCUUCAGGAUACUUAAUUGCUUGGCCUUCAACUUUUAUUUGAAACAAGGAUAAUUGACUUGCAGCUGAAUACUUCGGUUCGAACAGGAAGCAAAUAAAAUUUGAAGAUUUUACUUCCCAAUAGUUGUAGUUUACACUGAUAGAUUGAAAAAUGUAAUAUUAUUCAAAAGAUCUUUUUCUUUGGUCGAAUUUAUGCAAAUGCUAUGGUGUAAUA